UCCUUAUAUCUAGAAUAUGGCUUUCUCACUAACGAGCACUGAUUGCAUGUAUUUUCUUGUCUCUUAACAUGAUACAACUGUACAUUUUGAAACAUCACUUAAAAUGGUGGAAAUUGUGGUUCCUCUACCCAAGAGUCGUUCCCAAGUGGUUCAUUCCCAAAGCCUCCCUUGAAAAGCAUCCUUGGCUAGCUAGCUUGUUAAAAGUUUAGAAAUCACCCACAGAACCGCUGCCUCAAUUCCGCAUUCUCCAUACUGUACUAUAUAGAUACUGUAUAGUAUGGAAAUUGUAUGGACAUACUAUUACUAUAUAUGGAUUUAGUGAUGAAAUUGCAAUGCAUCUUCAUAU